rfam:Nasonia vitripennis chromosome 3, whole genome shotgun sequence.
GCCAACAUCCAUACUACGCUGAAUGCACCGGUUCUCGUCCAAUCACCGAAGUUAAGCAGCGUUAGGCGCUGUUAGUACUUGGAUGGGUGACCGCUUGGGAACCCCGCGUGCCGUUGGUA